rnacentral:rRNA from 1 species
CGGAGGAAAAGAAACUAACAAGGAUUCCCCUAGUAACGGCGAGUGAACCGGGAAAAGCUCAAAUUUAAAAUCUGGCUGUCUUCGAUAGUCCGAGUUGUAAUCUAUAGAAGUGUUUUCCGUGCUGAACUGUGUCUAAGUCCCUUGGAACAGGGUAUCAAAGAGGGUGACAAUCCCGUACUUGACACAAUCAUCAGUGCUCUGUGAUACAUUCUCUACGAGUCGAGUUGUUUGGGAAUGCAGCUCAAAAUGGGUGGUAAAUUCCAUCUAAAGCUAAAUAUUGGCGAGAGACCGAUAGCGAACAAGUACCGUGAGGGAAAGAUGAAAAGCACUUUGGAAAGAGAGUUAAACAGUACGUGAAAUUGUUGAAAGGGAAACGAUUGAAGUCAGUCGUGUUCAUUGGAUUCAGCUAGUUCUUCUAGUCUACUUCCUUUGAACGGGUCAACAUCAGUUUUGUCCGGUGGAUAAAGGCAGUAGGAAUGUGGCUUCUUCGGAAGUGUUAUAGCCUAUUGUCACAUACACUGGGGGAGACUGAGGACUGCAGCUCGCCUUUUGGCCGGGGUUCGCCCACGUUCGAGCUUAGGAUGUUGACAUAAUGGCUUUAAACGACCCGUCUUG